rnacentral:rRNA from 1 species
AACGAACGCUGGCGGCAUGCCUAACACAUGCAAGUCGAACGAGACCUUCGGGUCUAGUGGCGCACGGGUGCGUAACGCGUGGGAACCUGCCCUUAGGUUCGGAAUAACUCCCCGAAAGGGGUGCUAAUACCGGAUAAUGUCUUCGGACCAAAGAUUUAUCGCCGUUGGAUGGGCCCGCGUUGGAUUAGCUAGUUGGUAGGGUAAAAGCCUACCAAGGCGACGAUCCAUAGCUGGUCUGAGAGGAUGAUCAGCCACACUGGGACUGAGACACGGCCCAGACUCCUACGGGAGGCAGCAGUGGGGAAUAUUGGACAAUGGGCGAAAGCCUGAUGCAGCAAUGCCGCGUGAGUGAUGAAGGCCUUAGGGUUGUAAAGCUCUUUUACCCGGGAUGAUAAUGACAGUACCGGGAGAAUAAGCUCCGGCUAACUCCGUG